rnacentral:sRNA from 1 species
UUUUCACCCUGGAAGAAAAUCGUUUUGCGCUCACCAGAAGCUUAGUUUAUUGCAGCAUCUAACCUAGCUUGCCUUCUUAGGACUAGGGAUUUUCUUUAUAUUCAGAUAAAGUUCAAGGACAAGAAGAGGCUUGGGCUUGUGUUAUGCAAAGUCAUUUACUUGAGUAAUAAAUAGGUGUCACUUGUGAAUGACAUUACCUUUAACACCAUGUAGCGUAUGUUGUGUUCUGAAGAACUGCAACUACAAAGUUAUUUGUUGGUACUGAGAGAUUUCUUCUUUAUUCUGUGUUUUUGCUAUCCUGUCCUAUAUAACUUUUUUUAAAGUCAUAAGCUUAAAGUUUUUUGUUACGAAGAAUUUUAUAUUUAUGCAAAAUAGUAUCUGUAUGACCAAUCAUCCAGAUUCAGCAACUAAAAGGAUUUAUAAUAGAUUUAAAGGUUCAAUGUUUAAUAAAUAUCUUAAAGUUCACUAGAGAAAAAAUCCUUAUUGCGAGAUAACGUGGACCUACUGGGAAGCUUGGCAGAUCUGUACUUCAGAGCUGGAGACAAUAAAAACUCUGUCCUCAAGUUUGAACAGGCACAGAUGUUGGAUCCUUAUCUGAUAAAAGGAAUGGAUGUAUAUGGCUACCUACUGGCACGAGAAGGGCGGCUGGAGGAUGUUGAGAACCUUGGAUGCCGCCUUUUCAAUAUCUCUGAUCAGCAUGCAGAACCGUGGGUGGUUUCUGGCUGUCACAGCUUCUAUAGCAAACGCUACUCCCGGGCCCUCUAUUUAGGAGCCAAGGCCAUUCAGCUGAACAGUAAUAGUGUUCAAGCUUUGCUACUUAAGGGAGCAGCACUUAGGAACAUGGGCAGAGUCCAAGAAGCAAUAAUCCACUUUCGGGAGGCCAUACGGCUCGCACCUUGUCGCUUAGAUUGUUAUGAAGGUCUUAUCGAAUGUUACUUAGCCUCCA